UUAGGCUUAGGCUAAGGCUUAGGCUUAUGCUUAGGCUUAGGCUUAGGCAUAGGCUUAGGCUUAGACAUAGGUUUAGGCAUAGGCUUAGGAUUGGGAUAUGGCUUGGGAUUUGGCUU
ensembl:ncRNA W04E12.12 ncRNA